rnacentral:rRNA from 1 species
UACGGAGGGUCCGAGCGUUAAUCGGAAUUACUGGGCGUAAAGCGCGCGUAGGUGGUUUGAUAAGUCGGAUGUGAAAGCCCUGGGCUCAACCUGGGAACUGCAUCCGAUACUGUCAGACUAGAGUAUGGUAGAGGGUAGUGGAAUUUCUGGUGUAGCGGUGAAAUGCGUAGAUAUCAGAAGGAACAUCAGUGGCGAAGGCGGCUACCUGGACCAAUACUGACACUGAGGUGCGAAAAGCGUGGGGGAGCAAAACAGGAUUAGAUACCCGCGGUAGUCC